AUUGAACGCUGGCGGCAUGCCUUACACAUGCAAGUCGAACGGUAACGCGGGGCAACCUGGCGACGAGUGGCGAACGGGUGAGUAAUGCAUCGGAACGUGCCUGGUAGUGGGGGAUAACUGCUCGAAAGAGCAGCUAAUACCGCAUACGACCUGAGGGUGAAAGGGGGGGAUCGCAAGACCUCUCGCUAUCGGAGCGGCCGAUGUCGGAUUAGCUAGUUGGUGGGGUAAAGGCUCACCAAGGCAACGAUCCGUAGCUGGUCUGAGAGUACGACCAGCCACACUGGGACUGUGAAACGGCCCGGACACCUACGGGAGGCAGCAGUGGGGAAUUUUGGACAAGUGACGCAAGUCUGAUCCAGCAAUGCCGCGUGCGGGAAGAAGGCCUUCGGGUUGUAAACCGCUUUUGUCAGGGAAGAAAUCUUCUGGGUUAAUACCUCGGGAGGAUGACGGUACCUGAAGAAUAAGCACCGGCUAACUACGUGCCAGCCGCCGCAGUAA
rnacentral:rRNA from 1 species